rnacentral:rRNA from 1 species
AUGAACGCUGGCGGCGUGCCUCAUACAUGCAAGUCGCGCGAACAGACGAGGAGCUUGCUCCUCUGACGUUAGCGGCGGACGGGUGAGUAACACGUGGAUAACCUACCUAUAAGACUGGGAUAACUUCGGGAAACCGGAGCUAGUACCGGAUAAUAUAUUGAACCGCAUGGUUCAAUAGUGAAAGACGGUUUUGCUGUCACUUAUAGAUGGAUCCGCGCCGCAUUAGCUAGUUGGUAAGGUAACGGCUUACCAAGGCAACGAUGCGUAGCCGACCUGAGAGGGUGAUCGGCCACACUGGAACUGAGACACGGUCCAGACUCCUACGGGAGGCAGCAGUAGGGAAUCUUCCGCAAUGGGCGAAAGCCUGACGGAGCAACGCCGCGUGAGUGAUGAAGGUCUUCGGAUCGUAAAACUCUGUUAUUAGGGAAGAACAAAUGUGUAAGUAACUAUGCACGUCUUGACGGUACCUAAUCAGAAAGCCACGGCUAACUACGUG